AGAGUGGAGCAGAAUGGGCCCCGAGCACACACAGCUGUGACAGGUUCACCUGCACAUACAUUGGUGGAGAAUAUAUUACUACUAACUACAAGAUCCAGUGUCCUCCAUUCAACAUCGACAACUGCCAGCCUGGCACAGUGCAGCUUUCUGCUGAUGGCUGCUGCCAAGUUUGUGUGGAGAAGGAGAAGGGAUGUAAAGUAGAGACUAUUUCUGAUUACAUCAUUCAUGACAGCUGUCAGUCAGAGACCCAAGUGGAACAGACACACUGUGCAGGAGAUUGCAACAGCUACAGCAAGUACUCUGAGCUGGGCUCUUCGUCCUGUAGCUGCUGUCAGGCAGCUCGCACCAGUAACAGAACAGUGACCCUGAAAUGUCUAAAUGGAGAUACAGUACCACACACCUACGUCUAUGUGGAAGAAUGCAGCUGUAGCCAGACUAAGUGUCACAUAAGCAAGUAGGACACACAUACAUAAAUAUAAGAUACAUCCACCGGAGACACAGCUACAAACUACACUGAGAAUCCGCUGUUCAUCAUAGAAACAAUCCUAACCCUAACCAAAGCCCCCAGCUAUGAUCACAAUGCUUUGAAUUUCUCUCUCCAAAAAUUCAUCUGAUUUGAUUAUUUUCAUAGGUGUCUUUGAUGGAGUAGAAUGACUUGCUUUUAUUCCUUUAUGCUUAUAACUGAAACUUUUAAAUAAAAUGCAAUAUGAAAAAUA